CUGGCGGCGUGCCUAAUACAUGCAAGUCGAACGGUCUUUCUAUGGAAGCUUGCUCCACUGAGAAGAUAGUGGCGAACGGGUGAGUAACACGUGGGUAACCUGCCCAUAAGAGGGGGAUAACAUCCGGAAACGGGUGCUAAUACCGCAUAGUUUUCUUGAUCGCAUGAUUGAGAAAGGAAAGACGGCCUUUGUGCUGUCGCUUAUGGAUGGACCCGCGGCGUAUUAGUUAGUUGGUGAGGUAACGGCUCACCAAGACGAUGAUACGUAGCCGACCUGAGAGGGUGAUCGGCCACAUUGGGACUGAGACACGGCCCAAACUCCUACGGGAGGCAGCAGUAGGGAAUCUUCCGCAAUGGACGAAAGUCUGACGGAGCAACGCCGCGUGAGUGAAGAAAAGGUUUUCGGAUCGUAAAACUCUGUUGUCAGAGAAGAACAAGUUGGAGAGUAACUGCUCCAGCCUUGACGGUAUCUGACCAGAAAGCCACGGCUAACUACGUGCCAGCAGCCGC
rnacentral:rRNA from 1 species